rnacentral:tRNA from 1 species
GGGGAUGUGGCGGAAUUGGUAUACGCGCACGUUUGAGGGGCGUGUGGGGCGACCCUUGAGAGUUCGAGUCUCUCCAUCCCCACCA